GAUGAACGCUGGCGGCGUGCCUAAUACAUGCAAGUCGAGCGAACGGACGAGAAGCUUGCUUCUCUGAUGUUAGCGGCGGACGGGUGAGUAACACGUGGAUAACCUACCUAUAAGACUGGGAUAACUUCGGGAAACCGGAGCUAAUACCGGAUGAUAUUUUGAACCGCAUGGUUCAAAAGUGAAAGACGGUCUUGCUGUCACUUAUAGAUGGAUCCGCGCUGCAUUAGCUAGUUGGUAAGGUAACGGCUUACCAAGGCAACGAUGCAUAGCCGACCUGAGAGGGUGAUCGGCCACCCUGGAACUGGGACACGGUCAAGACUCCUACGGGAGGCAGCAGUAGGGAAUCUUCCGCAAAGGGCGAAAGCCUGACGGAGCAACGCCGCGUGAGUGAUGAAGGUCUUCGGAUCGUAAAACUCUGUUAUUAGGGAAGAACAUAUGUGUAAGUAACUGUGCACAUCUUGACGGUACCUAAUCAGAAAGCAACGGCUAACUACGUG
rnacentral:rRNA from 1 species